rnacentral:misc_RNA from 1 species
CCGAGUUUGGGUCGCCCCCGCGCGCCCGACCUCCAACCCUUUGUCUACCUGACCUUAACUGUUGCUUCGGCAGGCCCGCGGCCUUUGGGCUGCCGCCGGGGGUCUCGCGACCCCGGGCCCGCGCCUGUCGACGGCCCUUUACCAAACUCUUGACAAAAAACAUGUCGUCUGAGUAUACCGAUUUUUAAAUCAAAUCA